CCCCCGCCGCCCUCGCCCAAGUCCCCACCCGUCGCCCGUUACGUUACACCGCGCCGCCUCUCUAUCUCCUCCUCCACCAUGCGCGAGUCCCCGCGUGGCGUGUCGGAAAUGGCAUACCACCAUAACCUUACAUUACUACUCCGAGCACCACACGGGCUACCAGUACUUGCUGUACCCCUCUGUUUCAACUCCCAAAGGCUUUAGCCUUAGCCUCUUCUUGUUCUACUGUAGAGAAGCGAUAUGACGAACCGGAGCUCGUCGCCGUGGGGCUUUCAGGAGGCCGGAGAGGACGACGAUGACGCGAUUCCCCGGCAACCGUCGGCUCUGAUCGUGUCCUCCGAUAUGGACUACUUCGCGGAAAUCCUCGGCCCCCUGUCUCCCGUCGGCGACGCCCACUUCUCUCUGCACGCCACCGCCACCUCCGGGGUGGUCGGCGUGGGGGAGGAGGGGGAGAGCUCGGGAGAGUUCGAGAAGGGGAGUUCGAGCGGGACCAAGAGCGACGCCAUGGGCUUGGAGGACCCUCGCAGCGGCCCGAGUCAAGAGGUUGAAAGGAAGCGGGAGAUUUCGAGGAAAAGGAAACGGAAUCGGACGUCGCAGAUGCACAACCAAACAGAGAGGAGGCGGAGGGAUAAAAUAACAGCAAAAUUGAAGGCAUUGCAGGAGCUCAUACCCGGUUCCCACAAGUUGGACACAGCAUCUAUGCUGGAUGAGGCUAUUGCAUACAUGAAAUCCCUUCAGCAACAAAUUCAGAUCAUGUCAGGUGCCGCUCUGUAUCAAGCUCCAUUUCUGUCACCUGCUGCAGUGCAGUGCCUGGGCGCACCUCAAUUCCCUCCAUUCUCAUCUUCGGGACCAUAUAAUGCCAUGAGCCUGGGAUUCGGAAUGGGAAUGAGUAGCAUCGCUUGUUCAAUUCGGCCCCCUCUUUUGUCCUCCCUUUCUCCAUUGCCAGCCACGAGUUUGCUUCCCAUGCCCACCUUAAACUCCAUUCCGCACUACCGUUCACCAUUGCGUGGGCAUUACAUGCCUUUCGCUUCAUCACCAGAAUUUCCAGCAUCUGUGGUCACGCAAGCCGCUCGUAACCAAAGUUCGCAGGCGGAGUCCUUCAGUUCAAUAAAUCAAGCAGAAACUGGUCGUCAAGAGAUGCAGUCAGUCAUUGCAGAUGACCUACAAAUCCCAGCGAUCACCCAGGUCUAAGUUCACAUGUUCUCCCUCAGUCUUUCCAAUUGCCUACUGACUCUAGCUUUUCACUAUUUUUCUCUUCUUUCUCAAGUUAAUUGACGUGGGACAAUUGCAAGAGGGCAAUGAACCUGACGCUUUGUAGGAGGCCAAGUAGAUGAGCUUUGGUUGAAGAUGAACGUAUGUACAGAUGUUGCUGUCAUAACCAGACAUUAUUUCCUUAUGUAUAUGCUGCUGAGGUUUACCGAAUCUUAGGGUAAUCUGAGAUAAAUUUUGUCA